UAGCAUAUCAAUAAGCGGAGGAAAAGAAACCAACAGGGAUUGCCUUAGUAACGGCGAGUGAAGCGGCAAUAGCUCAAAUUUGAAAGCUGGCCCCUUCGGGGUCCGCGUUGUAAUUUGUAGAGGAUGGUUCGGCGAGGGCUCCCGUCUAAGUCCCUUGGAACAGGGCGUCAUAGAGGGUGAGAAUCCCGUAUGUGAUGGGCUGCCUUAGCCAUGUGAACCUCCUUCGACGAGUCGAGUUGUUUGGGAAUGCAGCUCUAAAUGGGAGGUAAAUUUCUUCUAAAGCUAAAUACCGGCCAGAGACCGAUAGCGCACAAGUAGAGUGAUCGAAAGAUGAAAAGCACUUUGGAAAGAGAGUUAAAAAGUACGUGAAAUUGUUGAAAGGGAAGCGCUUGCAGCCAGACUUGUCCGCAGUUGCUCAGCCUGUCUCCUGACAGGCGCACUCUUCUGCGGCCAGGCCAGCAUCAGUUCGGGCGGUCGGAUAAAGACCCGGGGAAUGUAGCUCCUCUCGGGGAGUGUUAUAGCCCUGGGUGCAAUGCGGCCAGCCUGGACUGAGGAUCUCGCUUCGGCUAGGAUGCUGGCGUAAUGGCUGUAAGCGGCCCGUCUUGAAACACGGACCAAGGAGUCUAACAUCUAUGCGAGUGUUUGGGUGUCAAACCCAUGCGCGUAAUGAAAGUGAACGGAGGUGGGAACCCUCACGGGUGCACCAUCGACCGAUCCUGAUGUCUUCGGAUGGAUUUGAGUAAGAGCAUAGCUGUUGGGACCCGAAAGAUGGUGAACUAUGCCUGAAUAGGGUGAAGCCAGAGGAAACUCUGGUGGAGGCUCGCAGCGGUUCUGACGUGCAAAUCGAUCGUCAAAUUUGGGUAUAGGGGCGAAAGACUAAUCGAACCAUCUAGUAGCUGGUUCCUGCGA
rnacentral:rRNA from 1 species